CUACAAAGGAUGCAAUCCCAAAAUCCCAAGUUCAAACAUUCUGACUGAUGCAUGUAGAAAGCAUGCUUAUACCAUGAAACAUUGCAGGACUGAUGUAUCCAAUGCGUUGUUAACUUCUGCAUGGCUCCGAAUUCCUUACCCAUUUGCAAUGGGGUUUCCCGAUUUUCCAUUUCAGGACUUGCAUAAUCAUGGCCGUAGUAUCUCUGGUUGCUUCUGUGGAUUCAGUUGGAACUUAUCAUUCUGCAUCUCUG
rnacentral:sRNA from 1 species